UUUGGUCUUCAACUGGUGCAAUUUACAUUGGCUAGUUUUCUGCAUGCGUUUGAAAUCUCAAAUCCGUCGAGUGCACCAAUUGAUAUGACAGAGAGUUUUGGAAUAACCAACGUUAAGGCAACUCCACUUAAUGUUCUCAUCAAACCUCGCUUAUCUUUUGAACUUUAUGGAUAAAAGAAGAAAAUACAGAAUAUUAUGUGUACGAUAUGAAUAAGAGAUUUUCGUUGUUAUUAGUUAUGUAUAAUUAUGUGUCCAUCUUUGUAAUCGUAAAAUCAAUAAAUCAAGGCUUUUUAUGUUAGCACCCCACAAAAUGUUGAAUACACUCCACAUUAAAAUUUAAUAUUAAUGACUUAUUUACUCUGCUAUGUAAUAACAAUUUUGACCUUAUUAGGUUUAAAAAAUAAUAAAAAAUUUAUAAAUACACCCCAAAUUACUUUUAACGUAUUAUUUAUCUAUUUCAACUAUCAAAACCCCUCUCAUUCUCCAUUGUUGAAUAAAACCCUAAACAAUGAAACUACAAACAUGUUGAUUGAGAAAAAUAAUUUUUGACGAAUGGAACACAAAAUCGAUGUUUCGAAAGCUUUGAAAUCAUUAUUAUUGUUAUUGAAAAACAUUCAAAUGAACCUAAACAUUUUUUGAAAUCAUUCAGCAAACUAAUGUUUAGAUAGUUUGAAAUCAUUUGGCAAAAUAAAAAAUGAGUGUUAUAAGAUUUGAGAAAUGUGGGGUGUGUGUAGAAAAUAUAAGGUGUAUAUUAAGAAUGUGGGGUGUGAGAGUAUUAUGGGAAAGAAAGUGGAGUGUAUUAACAUAAUUUUUAAUUGAAAAAGUAAAUAUGGGAUAUAUUAAGUAUGUGAGGUUUAUUCAACAAUUUGUGGGGUGCUAAUAUAAUAAGCCUAUAUCAACUGCCAAUGUAAGAUACAAAACCUAGCAAUAAUGGGUGUUUGAGAAUGGGUAUAUUUAGCAAUAAAAAAGUACCCCCAAAAAAGCCUCUAUUUACAUUUUCCAUUGGGCUAUCUUUUGGGUCUGUUGCCUCCGGAUUUUUUUAUUUUCAAUUUGCUUGUAAAGAACCCACCCAUUUGCCAGCACAAACAGGACAAAUUAAAAUAGUCUGUGGAAAUAAAGAUGAGAAUUAAGUGGGAGUAAUGGGCAUAAAGGUUACCUCAAGAUUUACAAUUGUUUUACCAUUUCCUCUAACUUAUUGUCAUCGCUAAAUGGCUGUUAGUAGGGUGAGUUAUAGAGAAGAAACUGGGGCAGCAAGCAAGAACAAAAAGGCUGCAGGUUGCAGCGGCAAAGAUAAGGGAAAAAAAACUGAAAAAAAAAUGGAAAGGUGCAGCUGACGAAAAUGGGAAGGAAGAAAGCAAGGCAGCAAAAAGUUGGACGAGGAAGAGGGAAGCAAUAGAGGAAGGAGGAAAUCUUGGCAUUCUUUUCUUUCGGUUUUAUCUUCUCAAACUCAUGUCUUUCUUUUGGUUUUAUUUGAGAAUUAUGUGUAACUAAUUUUUAGUAGUUAUGGGCUAUUUUGAAGCCCCAAAUAUGAUUGCAAGUUUGUUAUGACAUUUUGUUGAAUUACUUUUAUAAAUUGAAGAAAAUUGGUUUACUACUUGUCUCAUUGAUGAAUUAUUUAUGUGUUUUCUACGGAUGCAUACUUAGUAAGCAUAUCUAGGAUUCUAAUGCUAUGAAUAUGUGUGUACCUGCCAUUGUCGAAUGAGGACCUACAUAUGUUCUAGAAUAGUACUUGUUAAUUGCGUUUAACAUGUGAACCAAUUUCUAGGAUAAGUAAGACAACGCUAAUACUUACGAUACCUUGUGAUGACUUAAACUCUUUUCGUUCUUAAUGAUUUCUACUUGUUAAAUAUAUGAACAUGCCAUUCUAGAUUGCAUGCUAGAGACUAAGUUAAGUUGAAAACGUCAUUCACUUAACAUACUACAUAAGAAAGAGUAAUAACAUACUACAUAAGAAAGAGUAAUAGGUUGAGUUCUAACAUUGAGCCAACUUGAGCAUCUUCAUCCGGAAAUAAAAUGAAUUUGAAUGAAACAUAACAUGUUUGCAUGAUUAUUUUGUGGUGGAUAGCAAUUCCCCUAACUCGUUUUUCUUAAUUUGUGAACUACUUAAAAUUUGUUUAUGUCCUGUUUUUGUUCGAUUUAAUUUUAAAAGAAAAUCAACUCCAAAAAUUUGUGUGAGUGUAGCUCUGUGUGUCUAGUGUCUUCAUAUAAAAUUUCGUAGACUUUAGAUAAGUGUAAGUUGGUCUAAUAAUUAUUUUCCGGUGGCUGGUCAGUAGGGACAGCAGCCCAGUUUUUGUGACAUUUUAAGUAGUUAGAUAAAACAAUCUUCUGCAGGAAAUACUCUUAUUUUCAUAUACUACAAUUGACAAUUCUUAGUUUUAAUAAGGAAAAUCAAUAAGAUAUUUAUGUGCUAUUUUGUGAUGUGCUUUUAAUCCUAUCAGGUACCAUAACAGGAGGGCAGACAAUCUGCCUCCCAAUUCUAGUGUAGAGUUAUUUUUGUAAGAUUAUUUUCAUGGGGGCGAUGAUAUUAAAAUCAUGCACAGAUCACACAGAAGGCAAUCCUAUCUUUACUUGCAAGUUGCAUCGAACAGAUAAGUAAAGGGUCCAAACCAGCCAUGUCAUAAAUAAUCAAGUUCUUCAGAAUAAUCAAGAGUUGUCGAGAAAAAUGUGGGACUGCGCGAUUUAACUAUGCAAUGUGAUAUUCACAUACUUUAUUUUAUUUCUUACACAUUUUUCUAAUUUUUUACUGUCGGAUCGGAUUAAUUGAAGAAGAUCAACAGAUAAAAAUUAACAAAAAAUAUGUGAAAAGUAAUUUGAAAUGUGUGAAUAACAUAUCUCUUAACUAUUUUAUCGUUCUUUACUAAAUUGUAUAUAGACAAGAAAAUAUUAUGGGAUAUAAAUAAUAAGUCUAAAGCCGUGUAGAAAGUAGUCGAAGAAAUAUCACACUUUUCACGAAUCAGCCUGAUGCUCCUUAAUUCAACAUUUGACUAAUGAGUUUAUAAUAUUAAAAAUAGCAAAUUAUAAUAUCAGACAAUGUGGCAUAUGCGGGUUCAUAUGUUAAUUAGUUGAAGUAUAGAUCCUCUUUGGAUCUAAAAAAACAGAGUCUAAGAAUUAAAUGAUCCGGAUCGUUGAAAUUUGAUCUAACUGCUACAAUUAUUAUAACUUUUAGAAUGAUCCUUUGUUUGUAGCCGUUGAAUCAAAUUUCAAAGGCCUGUAUCAUUUAAUUCAACGACCUGAAUCAUUUAAUCCUUAUACUCAGUUUUUUUAAAUCCAGAAAGAAUUUGCACUCAAUUAUUUGAGGGUUCUUUCAGGGAGAUCCAACAACAUGAAAAUUGAAACAAAGGUGUUAGAUUAAGUUGCAGUGUAUCAAGCUAAUGACAGUGUGUGUGAGCGUGACCCACAAGACUCAUUAUUUUAUGAAUUCUGAUCCUCUGCAUGUUUUUUCCCUACCACACUAUUUCGUUGAGGAGAAGUGAUAAGGGGCUCCCUCAUUCGAACCACCAACUCUGUUUUGGUAUACAUUUUCCACGGGAUCAAACGUACGUUAUUGCCUCAAUGCCUCAUGUGGUACCAAGACUAUGGAGAAAAGGAAUUUUUUGAGGCAAAACGAUAAUGGUUUGAUUGGCAUUUUUUUUUUAAAAGUACAAACUUCAAAUAGAGUAUCCUAGAUCAAAUUCGAGAGUGAUCCUUAAAUAAACAGUUCCAAAAAAAAAAUAAGGCCAGCUUGACCAAUCUAAUAGCUACCAUAUCGGCGGAUCUUCGAGUGUGAUAACACAUCUAGCACUCCAAAGUCAAAAAUAAUUUAAUCUCGACAACUAAAAAUUCAAUCACAUCAAAUCUACCUCAUGAGAAACUCUACACACAAAAUUGCUAGCAAAACCAGUAAAGAGCACUGUUUUCAUAUACAAGCAACACCAACUUCAAAGAGGAGCAAAAGAAACAAAUAGUGACCGUUAUAAUAAGAACUCUACACGCAAAACUACCAACGAAGCUAUUAGUUGUACCACGGUAAACCCCAUCAACGCCAUCAUGAGACAUAAAAGAAAGACACAAGCUCAAAAAGGCAAAUUUAACAUGGACGAAAGCCGCACUAUACCUAGACAACCCACACCAUAAAAAUUCAGCCUCAUCUCUUGCCACACCCCCACACUAUCCAAACAACCAUAGAGGGAAGAUUUUGUGAGAAAAAAUGGAUUGAAAAAGGACAAAAAAAUAAGUCACAGAGAACUCAAAUCUAAGCAAGUUUAGAUACAAACUUAAUCACCACAAAAGGGACUAAAAUUAUUAGUAUGUCAUCAAUGUGUGAUAAAAAAUUACUUGGUAGCUUCGCUACAACAGUCUACUUUUUAGGGAUAAAAAAGACUCACAGAUGCAUUUCAACCUCUCAUUUACUAUUAUCGUGUGAUACACAUGCGUUAAGAAUCUAACUCAAAACAUACCGUGUAAGAUAUAUGAGUAUAAAAUUUGUUUUCAAUCAGUAGGUCAUCCCUUAGCGUGGGGGCAAUGAUAUUUUUUCAGUAGGUCAUCCCUUACUGGAAUUGUCCCCAAUGUAUAAAAAUCACGAGCGCUAGACCAAUUCCAAUGUAUAGAUUUUUUUUGUAAGGUUAUUUUCGUGGGGGCAUACGUCACACAGAAGACAAUCCCAUCUUACUUGCAUGUUGCAACGAACAGAUAAGUAAAGGGUCCAAACCGGCAUGUCAUAAAAUAAUAAAUCUUCAAAAUAAUGAAAAUUCGUUAAACGUCUAGAAAAACGGGGGAUUGAGCAGUUUUACUAUUUUGUCAUCCUCAAUUAAAUUGUCCUUUUUAAGAGUUAUGAAAAGGAAAGGGUAUUUUUAAGGGAAGAGGAUCCUCUCCUGAGCUCAGGAUGGGGAUCCUCCUGAUCAGGUUAUUCGGACUGUUUAAAUUUAAUCCAACGAUUCUAAACAGGAGGGUCUUCUAAAAGUUAUAAUAAUUGCGAUCGUUGAAUUAAAUUUGAACGGUCUGGUUGGCCUGGUUAGAAGAAUCCUCAUCCUGAGCUCAGGAGAGGAUACCGAUUGCCAAACUGAUUAAGGUCGAUGCAGUUUGGUUUAGCCACCGUAAAUUAAAAAAAAAAAAAAAAAAAAAACCAAACCAGGCUUUAGGUGGGAUUCAAGCGGUUUAGUCGGUUUUUUUUUUUUUUUUAAAUGCCCAGCCCUAUGUUCUACAUAGAACCCAACAUAAUUUUUUUCUCUUAAUAAUUAAGAUCCAUAUAAGCAAAUUCAUCAAUUAUACUUUACUUUACAGAUUUUACAUUUUUCGAAUUCUUAAAAUAUUCAUAUUGCAUGUUUGAUUUACACAAUUAAUUAUACGUGGGUUCUUAGGUUUGAUUCUUACUAAAGGUAAAUUUAAACCUCAUUAUUACUAACUCAUUGUGAGACUUAGCUCACUCUCCAUCCCUUUAAUAUAGAUAAUAUCAUUUGUUAAAAAAAAAUAACAAUCUAUCUUUUACCUUUUAGUUAGUCAUAAUUUUUUCAUUUCUCCUCUCAACUGGAGAUCAAGAGUUAUGUAUUUCAAUACAACCAUACGUAAUAAUCGGACCCUUACUCCUAUAUAUACGUGUGUGUAUGACAAGGCGAUAAAUCAACUUAAGCCUUUACCCAGUUCGGUAAAAAGCAUUUUGCGUCUAGCUUUCUCAUGAUAGUUGCAAAAAUGGAUUCUCUCCCUUAUGCAAACUCUAUCACUGCUGGCCUGUUCACAGUAAUCAUCGUGUUCUAUUACUUAUCUCGAAGAUGGAGAGCUGCCAAUCACAAGGGCAAAUUAUCACCACCAGAAGUCAAGGGUGGAUGGCCUAUAUUUGGUCACCUUCAUUUGUUAGGAGGCUCCACACCUCCUCACAUAACUUUGGGAGCCAUGGCGGACAAGUACGGACCCAUUUUCACUAUCCGCCUUGGCGUCCAACCGUCGUUGGUGAUAAGCAGCAGUGAGAUCGCAAAAGAAUGCUACACAACCAAUGACUUGAGCAUACUCUCUCGCCCAAAGAUGGUGGUUGUAGAUCACGUUAGCUACAACUAUGCCAUGUUUGCGUUCGGACCACCUGGACCCUAUUGGCGAGAAAUUCGCAAGAUCGUUACCUUGGAAUUGCUCUCAGUCCGGAAGGUUGAGCUGCUCAAGCACAUUCGAGUGUCGGAAGUAGCUACUUUCUUAAAAGAAUUGCACGAACUUUGGAGUACAAAGAAAAAGGAGGGCUCGAAAGAUGGAGUGGUUGUAGAGCUAAAGCAAUGGUUUGCGGACAUGAUGCUGAACGUUAUUCUUACAAUGGUGGCUGGAAAGCGGUUUUCGGUGGCUGCUGCUGGGGAUGAGAAGAAAGAAGCGCGUAGGGUUCAGACUGCAUUGAGGGAGUUAUUUGAUUAUCUGGGCAUGUUUUUGGUGGGUGAUGCGGUUCCUUAUCUGCGGUGGUUGGAUUGGGGUGGACAUGAGAAGGCAAUGAAGAAAAGUGCAACGGAAAUGCACGCCAUUAUUGCAGAGUGGGUUGUAGAGCAUAAGCAGAGGAGAGCAAAAGGUGAUGCAAAAGGAGAACAGGACUUCAUAGAUGCGUUGCUUUCUGUGCUUAAUGGUGCAGACCUUGGCAGUUUUGAUGCUGAUACGAUCACCCAAGCCACAAGCUUGGUACGUAUAUAUAAUUUAUUAAAUUUGCAGGCAAAUAAUUAACCAUAAAAGGCUGGAGGUAGACACUAAACACAUCAAGAUUUUAUUUUUACUUUUCAAUACUUAUAAGCUAGUUGCAUGGUCUAUAAAAAGAAAAUGAAAACAUUAGGCAAUAAUUUUUUUUUUUUUGAAAACAUAUGUCCACUUUUAUACAUGACUCAUCCGACAUAUUUGUCUGCUCAUCAAUGGAUGAUGGUAGAGAAAUUAUCUUGUUAGAUUGUAUCUGUAGAGCAUAUGAUGUGACGGUUGAUGGUUAGAUUCUUUUUUUAAAUCUUUAAGAAUGAAAUUCAACUAUUAUUGCAGGAGGUACUGUUACAUUCUUUGAUUUACAAGAUGUAAUUUAAAAAGAUAAUCUCUUUAACAUUUUCGUCAAGAAUGUGUAAAUGUUAAUCAAGCAAAUAUUCCUUGGGCAGGCUAUUAUUGCAGGAGGUGCCGAUACCACCACGGUGGCAGUGACGUGGGCAAUAUCGUUAUUGCUGAACAACCCUCACGUUAUGAAAAAAGCUCUAAACGAACUGGACACCAAAAUAGGCAGACAAAGAGUUGUGAGUGAUGAAGAUAUAAGCAACUUGGUCUACAUCCAAGCUAUUGUAAAGGAGACGUUACGUUUGUACCCAGGAGGACCAUUAUCAGGGCCGCGUAUAUUCACCGAAGAUUGCACCAUUGCUGGCUACCAUAUUCGAAAGGGCACCCGGUUCAUCCCAAACUUCUGGAAGAUCCAAACUGACCCGCAAAAUUGGCCUGAGCCAUUCGAGUUCAAGCCAGAGAGAUUUCUUACCACACACAAGGAUGUUGAUCUGAAGGGUCAGCAUUUUCAGUUUCUUCCUUUUUCAAGUGGUAGAAGAGCAUGCCCUGGUUUGGCAUUUGGUCUUCAACUGGUGCAAUUUACAUUGGCUAGUUUUCUGCAUGCGUUUGAAAUCUCAAACCCGUCGAGUGCACCAAUUGAUAUGACAGAGAGUUUUGGAAUGACCAACCUUAAAGCAGCUCCGCUCAAUGUUCUCAUUAAACCUCGUUUAUCUUCUAAACUCUAUGGAUAAAAGAAAAAAAUAUAGAAUAUUAUGUGUGCAAUAUGAAUAAGAGGUCUUCGUUGUUAUUAGUUAUGUAUAAUUAUGUGUCCAUCUUUGUAAUAGUAAAAUCAAUAAAUCAACUGCCAAUGCAAGAUACAAAACCUAGCAACAAUGAGUGUUUGAGAAUUGGCAUAUUUAGCAAUAUAAAGGUACCCCAAAAAAGCCUCUAUUUACAUUUUCAAUUGGGCUAUCUUUUGGGUCUGUUGCCUCCGGAUAUUUUUGUUUUUCAAUUUGUUUGUAAAGAACCCACCCAUUUGCCAGUACACAAACAGGACAAAUUAAAAUAGUCCAUCUGCGAUUAUUAUCACAAAGCUAAUUUUGAUUAGGUUUUUCUUAUUAUUGAUUGAAAAACCAAGAGAUUUUCAUUACAUUAAGAGCUGGUUUGGUAUUACUGUGCUUUGAAAAAAAACUGCUUCUGCUGUGUUGUGAGAAUAAGCGGAUGUGAAAUAAAGCUGUAGAGUGUUUGGUAAACUUUUUUGUAAAAAUGCUUUUGAAAAAAAAAAACAGUAUUAUAGUGUUUGAUAAACUUUUAUGUAAAAUAGAUGUGAAAAAAAAGCUGGGUUUUCAAAGCUGGGUUUUGCAGCUUCUUGUUUUUGGUUUUUUUUCACCCAAAACUGUGAAAAAAAGCUGAAGCUGAAUGUUUACCAAACACAAAAAAGCUCCCAACUUUUUUUCAUACCAGCUUUUUUUUAAUCACCUCAAUCCCAAACUGCACCUAACUUGGGUCUAAACUGCUCUGAAGUGCAAAAUUUGCAUUGCAAUGAUAAGUUUACUGCUUACAUCACUUUGCAUAUCAGUAAUGUGAUAUCAAAAUGUGAUAUUUCUAGCAUUAUUUGUAGGGCAAAAAAGAAAUCCAAGAAAACCGCAUUCGAUCCGAAAAAUUUAAGCCAAACCUGAAAAUUCCAAAUUAUUUGGUUAUUGAAACCAAACAAUUCUUAAAACUUCGGUAUAAAAAUUUAUAUGUACUAAAGCUCAGCAGAUUAGCAUUGUUCACCAUGUGAGAGCGAGCACUGUUCACCAGCCGUUAAAAGGGAGGAAAUGCCCACGGUUUUUGCUUUGGUUCCUAUACUGUUUACACUUUGCUACAGGAAAAAGUUAGUUUUGUCCUUCCCGGCCUUGCGUCUGUUAUCAGCAAGCGAAUCAGGUUCGUCUCUCGCUCUCUCUCUCUCACAUUUUUUUUUUCAAAUUGGGACGUGCUGUCUUCUCCUUUUCCAUCUCCAUCUCUGCGCAACUUGCCAAAUCUCUCCUGGGAACCUUCCACCGCAUCGUUUUUGUAAUUUUGGCUUGAUCUGGAUGGCUUCAGAUCUCUGAAGCCAUUAUCUGUGAUGACACGUGGAAGACUGGGAUGAGAAGGAGAGAAGAGAAAGGAGUAAAAUGAGCAAUGGCUCCGGCCAAUGAGGGAGAAAGGAAACAAAGGAAAGGAGGGAAAGGAGAAGAAGAGAACCGGCCAACCCGGUUUCUCCACCCGACCCGCCAACUUGACCCGCUCAUAUCUCCUCCAUACGAACUCUGUUUUGGGUGAUCUUGAUGUCCAUGGAAAGCCCUUGAUGAGCCAUACAUCUAUGUAGUGUUAGAUUUCCCAAUUUCUUUCCCAUUUUUCUACUUCGAAGCCACAAAGCCCACGACUUUUUUGGCAACUUUAAUCUUUUUCCAGUGGCUCCGCGCGAGCUUCACCGUCAAUGACCACCACCAAAAGACUCCUCUCAACCCCAGGAGCAAGGCCCAAGCCUUUGAUGAGGUGACGAAGUUUGUUUUGGUGACGAAUCGACAACUACCCAAAUCGAGGGUUUCCGGUGGGUUUGAGUCAAUUUGGAGCCUUUUCCAGCCAAAUUAGACUUGACCACAGGUAUAAAGUUUGCUCUACUCUUUAAGAUCUUUAUUUAUAUAAAAUUUGAGAAUUUUUUAAAAUAGUUGAAAUUUUCCGGCUAGUCGGGGCGGCUGACCACCCCACAUGGCGACGAGUGGCCAGAAGGCCGUUGCUGUUAUUUUUAGGCUAAAUUAGAUGCCUUGAUUUCAGUUUUGAUAUUCGUAUGAUGUAGAUUGAUCGUUUGAACCUAAAUUCACUAUGAUACCUUACUUGAUCAAAAUAAUGAAUCGACGAUCCGACCGUUGGAUCGUCACCAAACUUUGAGACCUUAUCGUAUGUAAUAUUUGAGGACCUUAGGAGUUUACAGAUCGGGAAUCCAUCAUACUAAUCUUCCCGAAUUGGAUUUUCAAGUUUAUAAAAUAAAACGUUGACCACCACUUGAUUUCAUGAUUGGCGGAGAUCCGACCGUUGGAUUGGAAUGAAAUUUUAGUAUGUUGUUCUAGAAGCGUAAGGUGAACUACGCGGAACCUUUUACAACUAUUAACACAAUCUUCUCGAAGCAAUGAUAACCCGCACAUAAUCAACCUAACAUAAUCCAGGAUAGAAAUUAUAAAUACAAACCAAAUUCCUUUGUAUCCAUCAUGACAGCUAUUUCAGUUAGCUUUUGGAUCUCAAGAAAAUGAAAACCAGAUAUUACUCUACUUAUGAGAAAUAUCAGUGUCUCAGGCCGGAUGAUGAUGCUGUAACAACUCUAAGUAGUUUUCAAUACUUUGAUAUCUGCAAGUUUUGUUAAUAGUAAGCACAUUAGGUGAAAAUGAAAAUGAAAACAAGGAAAAUGAAAACUUUCCUUGUUGCAAAUCACUUUACGCAACAUGUCACCCGUUGGCAACAUUUUUUUCAUGCUAUGACCAAGAUUGGACUUCAAGUUAGUGAGUCUUAAACCAGUCCAAAACUGCACUAAACCUUUAGGAACAACCUAUCAAGAAAACUAAUAAUUUGAACAAGCUUUAGAAUCAGUUCUGCUUCAGGCUACACGAUUAUAUCACAUAUUGUCCGGUGGUAGUACAUUUAAGAAAGUCAACUAAGCAAAUAACAGCCUGUAGCUAAACGUUUCAUAUCUUUGAUCAGUGACCCCUAUGCAAGCUCAUUGAUAGCAUUUAAAAAUGAUCCAGUCAAGAAAAGUAUACAAAUUAGCUAAUGAUUUUGUAGAUACCUGUGCAGCGUUGUUAAAUUCAGGUAAAGGAUUCCCAUUAUUAUAUGUUGCUUUGACAAGUUCAUCGAAAAUGUAGCCAUAUAGUACGUCACUCUUCUCCAGUUUUUUGUUCAGACCUUCCACAUGGUUUCGAUGAUGGCCUCCCCAAUGAACUUCCAAUAUUCUCUGACUCAUAUACGGCUCCAAAGCAUCCUGAAAACAGAAACAUUACAUUUCAGUCAAGGAAGAUCAUAUGCAUAUUGCAAGCAUAAUAUAAUUACAUGUAUGUAUCAUCACGUGACAAGAAUAAGCAGCUCGAAACAGAAUAGUAAUCUCUACACAAUAAGAUUUACAACACGAGAUGGAUAACUUCAUAGAAUCAAAUGCUACACCACAAGAACUUCAGAAACCAAACAAUCAAAUUACUAAAGUAUUGCAAAUCCCAUCAGGUAAUAAGAAACCACAAAACUUCUCUUGGUGCACCUAAUGUGACAAUAGAAGCUGACUUGGCCAACCCGAUUUCAUGUCCUUAAAAUUGGUUUAAGGAGAAACUAGUUUACUUACAAGAAUAUAAGGAGGUUUCUUCAAUCCAUAGUAAGCACAAACUAACCCCAACUUUUGGCCUUGAACGGCUACAAUGAUUCCAGUCUCUUAAACUGUAACAACAACUAUUAACAUACAUAGAGAGUAAUUCUUAAACCUUGAAAUUUAGCCCAUUUCCUAAUAAUUUAUCCCAAAUAAAAACCUGAUUCAAUCCCCAUUUCAAAAUUAAAACCCUAAUUCCCAUUCACAAUUUUUCAAACCCUGAAAUCCAUCCCAUGCCCUAGUAAUUUAUCCCAAAUUAAAACCCUAAAUUCUAAAAUUCAUCUCAAUUCACGAUCAAAAUCCUUAAUUUCACAAUUCCAUAAUUUGUAAUUAGACUUACUUUCGAGAUAGACGAGCACGACGAAGGGGGUGGUGACUGCCUGUCGUUUGGAACGAAAGGGAGAGAGACAACCGAUAGUGGGUUCGAGAUUGGGGCAAUUUAGGGUUCGAGCGAAGAGGAGGAAGCCUACGGGAGAGAGGGUAUGAUGAGCGAAGAGGAGGAAGGCUACGAAAGAGAGAGACCGAGUGAGAGAGAGAGAAAGAGAGAAGGGGUCUGGGAAGAGGAGGAGGGCGUGAAAAGCAAAGGGGUCUUGGAAGAUUUUGUCCAAAAUUAUCAAAACUGGCGCUUAUUUUUUACACUUGUGCCAAAAUAUUCAAAACUGGCGCGACAUAGGUAUACAAUUCGACGUCGCGCAAAGUGUUUUUGCGCGACGACAACAUAAAGGCGUCGGUAUUUUUUAUAUAAAAAAAUUAUUAUAAAAAUAACUGAAAAUGUGACUUUACUCAUUUUAAAUUUAAUUAUUUUUACAUAAAACUCAUAAUAAUAUAUUUUUUAACAAAAACCUGACUAAUAAAUUGGUAGCUACUUAAUAAAUAUACAUAUCAUUCAAUUUCUUAAGUAUUAUACGUAAAAAAUAAAUAAAUUUAAAUCUACUUGAUAAAUAUAUAUACCAUUGAACUUGAUGCGAUACCACAUUGUACGUAACUAAUUUAAAUGAUCUAACCGUCAAACUUGUUUGUAUAUUGAUGCGUGAAAUAAGUUAACACACAAAUUAACCCUCUUUUUGACAAUUGUAGUAUAGAUGUAAGUAGGGUAUCGUUCUAGGCCGGGGAUUAGGAGGGAUUGCUAAUCUAUUCUAAAUUAAUUUAAAAAUAUUAAACAAGACUCAAGGACACAAAACUAGGCUAAAAACUCUAAUAACUCGAAACACACUUAGAAUGACUCAAAAUAAUGAAAACAAUCAAAUUAGACACUAGGAACUGAAAUGGACGGAAAUUGAAUUAAAAGACUAACAACAAUGAAAACUAACUAAAUAAUAUAAUUUAAUAAUGGGGGGGUUUGGUUUUUACGAGAAGUAAAUUAAACUUAAAUAAAUUACAGAAUUGACAAAAGCAUGAAAUUAAGGUGAAAGGAUAGGUGACGGACUAGCUAGAGGGUUCUUCUCCACACAUGACACAAAUGCAACCUAAAUUGAUUUUCAGUUGUUCUUUCAAUAAAUUGUAAAUCUCAACGCCCCAAAUUAACCGUGAAUUGCACUAAUUAACCCUCAGUUUUUCCACAAGUUAUUAGGUUGGAUGAUUGCAUACGACAACCCAAAACAUUCCCUACAAGUUCCCUACAUGAAUUGCAUAAUAGAGAUACAAGCAAGAAUCAUUAAGUUCUAUGAAAAACAUAAGCAUUGACGAGGCACUCGUUACUAUGAUUUGCAUGAAACUUAUGCCAAGAAUUUACUUAACGUGAUUGGGACUAGCAACCUUCACUACUUGUGAAUAUAAGUUCAUAACGAUUAGGUGAAACUCCCUUAUAUUCUAGCGUCAAAUUCAUGCAUGUAAAUUAAGUAUGCAUUCUUAAUCGACAUACAAAAAUAAGCUAUCAAUCAAGCAGUUAAGCAAAUUAAAUCACAACUCAGAAAUCACAACUGAAGGUAAUCAAUUCAUAUUACAAAUAUAUUCAUGGCUUUGAAUUAACCUCUAGCCAAAAUAAAAUUAGUUACAUAUUAUUAAAACAGAAAUAAAAUAUAAGUUUGGAAAGAUUUAACCAAAAAAAAUAGAGUGAAGCUCCUUCUCUGUCUCUCUGUGCUCCCCCUGUCUCUGCCUUCCGCGCCUUCAGUUUUCUUCUUUUCUCCUGCGUCAGUCUGUCCUCCCCCCGCCCCAGUCCUUGCUGCUGUCACUCUCUGACUCUUUUUUUUUAUUUUCUGUCUGUUUCGUUUCUCUUGGUCUCCGCCCCGCCCCUGCUAGUCGGUCUCCCCUAUUUUUCUAUUCUCCUUCCCUCCUAUCUGCCGCGCCUCCUGGCCUCAUCUUAUUCUUCUUUCAUUUUUUUAUUCCUUCUUUUUUCUUUUUCUUGUCUGCCAUGCCUCAUUCCUUUUAUCAUUUUCUGUUUUUCUUUCCUCCACCAUUCCUUUCUUUAUGUUUCUUUUAUUCCUCCAUCAUUCCAUGUCUCCCCUUUUAUUUAUUUUCUUAUUCUUCUUUCUCCACACAAUCCGCAAGUCUCUCCCUUUCCUCUUUUAUUAUUCAAUUUCUUGAUAGUCCACUUCCUUCCUUUGUUUAAUGACGUGCUGCAUUCUGUCUUUUCUCUAUUCUUUUCUGCCCAUUUUGUUUGAAAUUAAUCCUACAACAAAAUUAACUGUACAUUAACACGAGGUAAGGUAAAAUGCCACAAUUUUGACACAAAAACAUCCAAAGACUUUAGAAAUGAAUGGUAUAAAUGCAUGAAAUAUAUGAGUGAUCAUAUAUGCUUCAAGAUUGCAUACACCAAAAAUGGCAAAAAACAAACCUUCAUAGUGAUAGUAACGAGACAAAACUUUUCGACAGCUAUAAACGAAAAAAUCACGAUUUAACGGUUAUUUUAACUCCAAUUUUGAUGAUUUUGUACAACUACACUCUUGGAUCUUAUAUGAAUACAAGGAACUGAUUCGAUCAUCAAUUUAAAACAUUUACAUAAGUGGAUACCACAAAAUCUUAUGUUAUACUUGAUGAAAGUAUAAAUAAAAUAUAAGUGUUAGGAAAUCUAUUGUUUUAAUGGGAUACGCAUUGUACAAAACAAGUUUCAAUGAUCCAACUGUCAAACUUGUUUGUAUAUGCUUCAAGAUCACAUACUCCAAAAAUGAAAAAAAAACAAACCUUCAGAGAUCAAGUAACGGGACAAAUCUUUUCGACGGUUAUAAACAAAAAAAUCACUAUUUAACGGUUAUUUUAACUCCGAUUUUGAUGAUUUUUUACAACUACACUUUUGGAUCCUAUAUGAAUACAAGGAACUGAUUCGAUCGUCAAUUUAAAACAUUUACAAAAGUGGAUACCACAAAAUCUUAUGUUAUACUUGAUGAAAGUAUAAAUAAAAUAUAAGUGUUAGGGAAUCUAUUGUUUUAAUGGGAUACGCAUUAUACAAAACAAGUUUCAACGAUCCAACCGUCAAACUUGUUUGUAUAUGCUUCAAGAUCACAUACGCCAAAAAUGGAAGAAAAAAAAAACCUUCAGAGAUCAAGUAAUGGGACAAAUCUUUUCGACGGUUAUAAACGAAAAAAUCACGAUUUAACGGUUAUUUUAACUCUGAUUUUGAUGAUUUUUUACAACUACACUCUUGGAUCCUAUAUGAAUACAAGGAACUGAUUCGAUCAUCAAUUUAAAACAUUUACACAAGUGGAUACCACAAAAUCUUAUGUUAUACUUGAUGAAAGUAUAAAUAAAAUAUAAGUGUUAGGAAAUCUAUUGUUUUAAUGGGAUACGCAUUGUACAAAUCAAGUUUCAAUGAUCCAACCGUCAAACUUGUUUGUAUAUGCUUCAAGAUCGUAUACGCCAAAAAUGGCAAAAAACAAACCUUCAGAGAUGAAGUAACGGGACAAAUCUUUUCAACGGUUAUAAACAAAAUAUCACGAUUUAACGGUUAUUGUAACUCCGAUUUUAAUGAUUUUUUACAGCUACACUCCUGGAUCCUAUAUGAAUACAAGGAACUAGUUCGAUCGUCAAUUUAAAACAUUUACACAAGUGGAUACCACAAAAUCUUAUGUUAUACUUGAUGAAAGUAUAAAUAAAAUAUGUGUUAGAGAAUCUAUCGUUUUAAUGGGAUACACAUUGUACGAAACUAGUUUCAACGAUCCAACCGUCAAAUUUGUUUGUAUAUGCUUUGAGAUCGUAUACGCCAAAAAUAGUAAAAAACAAACCUUCAGAGAUUAGGUAACGGGACAAAACUUUUCGACGGUUAUAAACGAAAAAAUCAAGAUUUAACGGUUAUUUUAACUCAAAUUUUGAUUAUUUUUUACAGCUACACUCCUGGAUCCUAUAUGAAUACAAGGAUCUGAUUCGAUCAUCAAUUUAAAACAUUUACACAAGUGGAUACCACAAAAUCUUAUGUUAUACUUGAUGAAAGUAAAAAUAAAAUAUAAGUGUUAGGAAAUCUAUUGUUUUAAUGGGAUACGCAUUGUACAAAACAAGUUUCAAUGAUCCAACUGUCAAACUUGUUUGUAUAUGCUUCAAGAUCGCAUACUCCAAAAAUGAAAAAAAAAAACAAACCUUCAGAGAUCAAGUAACGAGACAAAUCUUUUCGACAGUUAUAAACAAAAAAAUCACUAUUUAACGGUUAUUUUAACUCCGAUUUUGAUGAUUUUUUACAACUACACUUUUGGAUCUUAUAUGAAUACAAGGAACUGAUUCGAUCGUCAAUUUAAAACAUUUACACAAGUGGAUACCACAAAAGAAACAGGCAAUGCAAGAACCCCAAUAGAAAAGCAAAAGGAAAAUAAAAAAACUUUGCGCAACGGAGGUACAACCGUCGCACAAAGUUUUUUUUUUUUUUUUUUUUUUGUUCCUAUGUUCCACAGUUUUAGCUUCUUGUAUAUCUCUUCCACUCCUGCCUUAAAAUUAUUGUUUAAGGACCUAUAUGAUGAGACCACGUAUUCAAAAUCGUAAAGGGUAGAGACUACACCUAAAAUGAUUACUAACCACGUAAUAGAAUAGUGGUUUGACAAAAAUAUAAACUAGCUUUUUCUCUAAAUCUCUAACAUUCUAGUUUCCUUCUCCCAAUUUAGUGAGAAAUGAAAUCAUUUUUUAGCACACAUCAAUCUAUCCCUAAAUUGGAUCAAGUUAACUGAGCAGCUUGCAGUUUCUUAGCUUUUGUUUCCCUAAACCUAUCAAAAUCCUUCAUACUCCUAGUCAUUCAUUCUACUCAUUCAAUUGUUCAAAACCAAAACUCAACUUGUUAAAAAUAAGCAUUGACAAAGAUAAUUAAAGAAAAACAUAAAUACACAAAAAUAAAAAAAUCCGAACAUAAAUGUAAUCAAUAAAUAGUUAAUUAAUUAAUCAAAUAAAUACAAUACUUGAAGGUGAAGAUGGUGAAGGUUGAGAGAGAUGGAGAGUCUGAAAGAGAGAGGUUGAGUGUGAAGAAAAAGGCCAUUGUGUGUGGUUAUUUUAGAAAAAAAAAUCGUCGACUUUGCGCAACGCUUCAUACGUUGCGCAAAACAGCAUUGCGCGACGUAGGUUCAAUUACGUCGCGCAAAGUUGUUUUGCGCGACGUAGGUGCACAUGUGUCACGCAAAGAUGGGAUGGGUUGGCGCCAAAAUUUUACGUGCGCAAGUUUCCGUCGCGCAAACAUGUUUUUGUACUAGUGAUUGUCAGUUUUUCAAGAGAUCCUCGUAAGGACUCCAUGUUCAGGGUAUUACUGGCCCUGUUUUCAUGUAGAACCUCACACUCAGACACAUCAAGUGUUUUCAAGGAAGAAAGAUGAGUAGGCAAGUCUCCUAUCAGCUUCGGACACUCUCUUAAUAUCAGCUCCUGAAGACGAGGGAAGUCUGGACUUUCACCACCACUUGGACUAGGCUGCCAUUCCUCCACUCUGGCAUCUCCCGAAACUCUAGCUUCUCUAAACAUUGAAAUGGUUGAUUUCCCCCGUACAACUCACCACCAGCCGGCAUGUCAUAAAAUAAUAAAUCUUCAAAAUAAUCAAAAUUCGUUAAACGUCAGUUUUACUAUUCAAACCGGCAUGCUGCAACGAACAGUUAAGUAAAGGGUCCAAAACGGCAUGUCAUAAAAUAAUAAGGGUCCAAAACGGCAUGUCAUAAAAUAAUAAGGGUCCAAACCGGCAUGUCAUAAAAUAAUAAAUCUUCAAAAUAAUCAAAAUUCGUUAAACGUCUAGUAAAACGGGGGAUUGAGCACUUUUACUAUUUUGUCAUCCUCAAUUAAAUUGUCUUUUUUAAGAAUUGUGAAAAGGAAAGGGUAUUUUUAAGUGAAGAGGAUCAUCUUCUGAGUUCAGGAUGGGAAUCCUCCUGAUCUGAUCAGGUUAUCCGGAUCAUUCAAAUUUAAUUCAACGGUUGUAAUUAUUAUAACUUUUAGAGGACCCUCCUAUUUAGAACCAUUGGAUUAAAUUUGAACGGUCCGGAUGACCUAGUCAAGAGGAUCCCCAUCUUGAGCUCAGGAGGAUCCUCUUCCAUUUUUAAAUUUACACAUAUUAAUUAUGAUUCAAAAAUAAAAUUAAAUAUAUGUUUGGUUAACCGCACCCUAAAAAUUUUGAGAACCGAUUGCCAAACUGAUUGAGAUCGGUACGGUUUGGUUUAGCCAUCGAAAAUUAAAUAUAAAAAAACCAAACCUAGCUUCGGGUGGGAUUCAAACCGAUUGCCAAACGUUAUUUCCCUUUGUCACAUGUCGACUCUCGAUGUAUGUUGGGAUCCGGGCGUUACACAAACUUAAUCACCACAAAAGGGACUAAAAUGAUUAGUAUGUCAUCAAUGUGUGAUAAAAAAUUACUUUGUAGCUUCGCCACAACAGUCUACCUUUUGAGGAUCGAAAAGACUCACAGAGGCAUUUCAACCUCUCAUUGACCAUUAUCGUGUGAUACACACGCGUUAAGAAUUUAACCCAAAACAAACUGUGUAUAAUAUAUGAGUAUGAAAUUCGUUUUCAAUCAGUAGGUCAUCCCUUAGCGUGAGGGCAAUGAUAUUUUUUUCAAUAGGUCAUCCCAUACUGGAAUUGUCCCCAAUGUGUAAAAAUCACGAGCGUUAGACCAAUUCCAGCGUAUAGUUGUUUAUUUGUAAGGUUAUUUUCGUGGGGGCAAUGAUAUUAAAAUUAUGCACACAUCACACAGAAGACAAUCCCAUCUUACUUGCAUGUUGCAACGAACAGAUAAGUAAAGGGUCCAAACCGGCAUGUCAUAAAAUAAUAAAUCUUCAAAAUAAUCAAAAUUCGUUAAACGUCUAACAAAACGGGGGAUUGAGGAGUUUUAAUAUUUUGUCUUUUUUAAGAGUUAUGAAAAGGAAAGGGUAUUUUUAAGGGAAGAGGAUCCUUUCAUGAGUUCAGGAUGGAAAUCCUCCUGAUCUGAUAGGAUCAUCUGGACCGUUCAAAUUUAAUCAAACGGUUGUAAUUAUUAUAACUUUUAGAGGACCCUCUUAUUUAAAACCGUUGGAUUAAAUUUGAAUGGUCCGGAUGACUUGAUCAAGAGGAUCCCCAUCCUGAACUCAGGAGGAUCCUCUUCCAUUUUUAAAUUUACACGUAUUAAUUAUGAUUCAAAAAUAAAAUUAAAUAUAUGCGGGUCGGUUUGGUUAACCGCACCCUAAAAAUUUUGAGAAUCGAUUGCCAAACCGAUUAAGAUCGGUACGGUUUGGUUUAGCCAUCGAAAAUUAAAAAAAAAAAAAAAACAACCCAAGCUUCGGGUGGGAUUCAAGCAGUUUAGUCGGUUUUUUUUUUAAAUGCCCAGCCGUAUGUUCUACGUAGAACCCAACGUAAUUUUUUUAUCUAAAUAAUUAAGAUCCCCGUAAGCAAAUUCAUCAAUUAUACUUUACUUUAUAGAUUUUACAUUUUUCGAAUUCUUAAAAAUAUUCCUAUUACAUGUUUGAUGUAAACAAUUAAUUCUAUAUGGGUUCUUAGCUUUGAUGAUCGCUAAAGGUAAAUUUGAACCCCAUUAUUACUAACACAUUGUGAGACUUAGUCCACUCUCCAUCCUUUCAAUGUAGAUAAUAUCAUUUGUUAAAAAAAAAACAAUAUAUCUUUUACCUUUUAGUUAGUCAUAAUUUUUUCAUUUCUCCCCUCAACUCGGAGAUAAAGAGUUAUGUAUUUCAAUACAACCAUACGUAAUAAUCAAGCCCUUACUUCUAUAUAUACGUGUGUGUAUGACAAGGUGAUAAAUCAACUUAAGCCUUUUCCCAGUUCAGCAAAAAUCAUUUUGCCUCAAGCUUCUAAUGACAGUUGCAAAAAUGGAUUCUCUGCCUUAUGCAAACUCUAUCACUGCUGGCCUGUUCACAGUAAUCAUCGUGUUCUAUUACUUAUCUCGAAGAUGGAGAGCUUCCAAUCACGAGGGCAAAUUAUCACCACCAGAAGCCAAGGGUGGAUGGCCUAUAUUUGGUCACCUUCAUUUGUUCGGAGGCCCCACACCUCCUCACAUAACUUUGGGAGCCAUGGCGGACAAGUACGGACCCAUUUUCACUAUCCGCCUUGGCGUCCAACCGUCGUUGGUGAUAAGCAGCAGUGAGAUCGCAAAAGAAUGCUACACAACCAAUGACUUGAGCAUACUCGGUCGCCCAAAGAUGGUGGUUGCAGAUCACGUUACCUACAACUAUGCCAUGUUUGCGUUCGGACCACCUGGACCCUAUUGGCGACAAAUUCGCAAGAUCGUUACCUUGGAGUUGCUCUCAGUCCGGAAGGUUGAGCUGCUCAAGCACAUUCGAGUGUCGGAAGUGGCUACUUUCUUAAAAGAAUUGCACGACCAUUGGAGUACAAAGAAAAAGGAGGGCUCGAAAGAUGGAGUGGUUGUAGAGCUAAAGCAAUGGUUUGGGGACAUGAUGCUGAACGUUAUUCUUACAAUGGUGGCUGGAAAGCGGUUUUCGGUGGCUGCCACUGGGGGGAUGAGAGAAAAGAAGCGCGUAGGGUUCAGACUGCAUUGAGGGAGUUCUUUGAUUAUCUGGGCAUGUUUUUGGUGGGUGAUGCGGUUCCUUAUCUGCGGUGGUUGGAUUGGGGUGGACAUGAGAAGGCAAUGAAGAAAAGUGCAACGGAAAUGCACGCCAUUAUUGCAGAGUGGCUUGAAGAGCAUAAGCAGAGGAGAGCAAAAGGUGAUGCAAAAGGAGAAAAGGACUUCAUAGAUUCGUUGCUUUCUGUGCUUGAUGGUGCGGACCUUGGCAGUUUCGAUGCUGAUACGAUCACCAAAGCCACAAGCGUGGUACGUAUAUAUAAUUUAUUAAAUUUGCAGGCAAAUAAUUAACCAUAAAAGGCUGGAGUUAGACACUAUACACAUAAAGAUUUUAUUUUUACUUUUCAAUACUUAUAAGCUAAUUGCAUAGUCUAUAAAAAGAAAAUGAAAACAUUAGACGAUAAUAUUUUUUUUUUUUAAAAACAAAUUAUGUCCAAUUUUAUAUAUGACUCAUGUGACAUAUUUGUCGGCUCACCAAUGGGUGAUGGUAAAGAGAUUAUCUUCUUAGACUGUAUAUGUAGAAUACAUGAUGUAGCGAUUGUUAGAUUCUUUCUUUAAAUCUUUAAUAAUGAAAUCCAACCAUCAAUUAUCAUAUUCUUUGAUUUACAAGAUGUGAUUUAAAAAUAUAAUCACUAACAUUUUCGUCGCCUAAAGAACGUAUAAAUGUUAAUCAAGCAAAUAUUCCUUGGGCAGAAUAUUAUUGCAGGAGGUGGCGACACCACCAUGGUGCCAUUGACGUGGGCAAUAUCAUUAUUGGUGAACAACCCUCAAGUUUUGAAAAAAGCUGUAAACGAACUGGACACCAAAAUAGGCAAACAAAGAGUUGUGAGUGAGGAAGAUAUAAGCAACUUGGUCUACAUCCAAGCUAUUGUAAAGGAGACGUUACGUUUGUACCCAGUAGGACCAUUAUCAGGGCCGCGUUUAUUCACCGAAGAUUGCACCAUUGCUGGCUACCAUAUCCCAAAGGGCACCCGGUUGAUCCCGAACUUCUGGAAGAUCCAAACUGACCCGAAAAAUUGGCCUGAGCCAUUCGAGUUCAAGCCAGAGAGAUUUCUUACCACACACAAGGAUGUUGAUCUGAAGGGUCGGCAUUUUCAGUUUCUUCCUUUUUCAAGUGGUAGAAGAUCAUGUCCUGGUUUGGCAUUUGGUCUUCAACUGGUGCAAUUUACAUUGGCUAGUUUUCUGCAUGCGUUUGAAAUCUCAAACCCGUCGAGUGCACCAAUUGAUAUGACAGAGAGUUUUGGAAUAACCAACGUUAAGGCAACUCCACUCAAUGUUCUCAUCAAACCUCGUUUAUCUUCUGAACUUUAUAAAUAAAAGAAGAAAAUACAGAAUAUUAUGUGUACGAUAUGAAUAAGAGAUUUUCGUUGUUAUUAGUUAUGUAUAAUUAUGUGUCCAUCUUUGUAAUCGUAAAAUCAAUAAAUCAACUGCCAAUGUAAGAUACAAAACCUAGCAAUAAUGGGUGUUUGAGAAUGGGUAUAUUUAGCAAUAAAAAAGUACCCCAAAAAAGCCUCUAUUUACAUUUUCAAUUGGGCUAUCUUUUGGGUCUGUUGCCUCCGGAUUUUUUGAUUUUCAAUUUGUUUGUAAAGAACCCACCCAUUUGCCAGCAUAAACAGGACAAAUUAAAAUAGUCUGAAGUGCAAAAUUUGCAUAGCAAUGACAUGUUUACUGCUUAAAUCACUUUGCAUAUCAGUAAUGUGAUAUUUCUAGCAUUAUUUGUAGGGCAGAAAAGAAAUCCAAGUAAACCGAAUUCGAUCCGAAAAAUUUAGGCCCAACUUGAGAAAAGCCAAACCUGAAAAUUCCAAAUUAUUUGUUAUCGAAA
rnacentral:lncRNA from 1 species